ensembl:rRNA 5S_rRNA 5S ribosomal RNA
GCUUACGCCAUACCAGCCCAAGAUAACGCCCGGUCUCGUCUGAUCUCGGAAGCUAAGAAGGCUUUGGCCUGGUUAGUACUUGGAUGGGAGACCUCCUGGGACUUGCCCAGGUGCUGUAAGCU